UUGAACGCUGGCGGAAUGCUUUACACAUGCAAGUCGAACGGCAGCACGGGGGCAACCCUGGUGGCGAGUGGCGAACGGGUGAGUAAUGUAUCGGAACGUGCCCAGUCGUGGGGGAUAACUAUCCGAAAGGAUAGCUAAUACCGCAUACGUCCUGAGGGAGAAAGCGGGGGAUCGCAAGACCUCGCGCGAUUGGAGCGGCCGAUAUCGGAUUAGCUAGUUGGUGGGGUAAAAGCUCACCAAGGCGACGAUCUGUAGCGGGUCUGAGAGGAUGAUCCGCCACACUGGAACUGAGACACGGUCCAGACUCCUACGGGAGGCAGCAGUGGGGAAUUUUGGACAAUGGGGGCAACCCUGAUCCAGCCAUGCCGCGUGAGUGAAGAAGGCCUUCGGGUUGUAAAGCUCUUUCGGCCGGGAAGAAAUCGUAUGGGCUAAUACCCUGUGCGGAUGACGGUACCGGCAUAAGAAGCACCGGCUAACUACGU
rnacentral:rRNA from 1 species